GUAAACUUUCGGGAGUAGGGAAUUUUCCCCAUUUUAGGGAGGGGGAGGCGGACCUCUUGUAAAGAAUUACCUGCAUUAGUUUAGUUUAGGUUAUGACACGUUAGAUUUGGUACCUCACCUGUCCGCUGCGAUAGGCACGGAUUUUUCCUUCACUGGUAGCCUGGUAACCUGUACUACCAGGUCUUUCUCUGCCUCUGUGGUGGAUAGUGGAGUGUUUCCCAUGUGGUAUUGGUGUGCUGGAUAUCCCUUCACUGGUAGCCUGGUAACAUACACUCCCAGGUCUUUCUCUGCCUCUGUGGUGGAUAGUGGAGUGUUUCCCAUGUGGUAUUGGUGUGCUGGAUAUCCCUUCACUGGUAGCCUGGUAACAUACACUCCCAGGUCUUUCUCUGCCUCUGUGGUGGAUAGUGGAGUGUUUCCCAUGUGGUAUUGGUGUGCUGGAUAUCCCUUCACUGGUAGCCUGGUAACAUACACUCCCAGGUCUUUCUCUGCCUCUGUGGUGGAUAGUGGAGUGUUUCCCAUGUGGUAUUGGUGUGCUGGAUAUCCUUCACUGGUAGCCUGGUAACAUA